CCAUAGGGAAAUGUAUUCCCCUGAACCGAACUUGGUCUGUAUGAGUCUAUAAUGGGUGAAGACUGAGGAAUCUGCUGGUUCGGGUACCUCGACUUUAGAACCAAACCGCAUAUAGAUAUAAAAACUACGUUAAAAGAAAUGAAGAAGGGAGGAAAACAGAGGGAGAAGCAGAAGAGAAUAGAAAAAAAAGUUAAAAGAACAUAAAAGAAAAAAAUUAAAUGCUCA
rnacentral:lncRNA from 1 species